rnacentral:rRNA from 1 species
UACAGAGGGGGCUAGCGUUGUUCGGAAUUACUGGGCGUAAAGGGUGCGUAGGCGGCUUUGUAAGUCGAAGGUGAAAUCCCGUAGCUUAACUCCGGAAUUGCUGUAGAUACUGCAAGUCUUGAGGACGGAAGAGGUGGCUGGAAUUCCCAGUGUAGCGGUGGAAUGCGUAGAUAUUGGGAAGAACACCGGAGGCGAAGGCAGGUCCCUGGUCCGUAUCUGACGCUCAGGCACGAAAGCGUGGGGAGCAAUCAGG